UACGGAGGGGGCUAGCGUUGUUCGGAAUUACUGGGCGUAAAGCGUGCGCAGGCGGUUUUGCAAGUCGGGUGUGAAAUCCCCGGGCUUAACCUGGGAAUGGCAUUCGGGACUGCAAGGCUGGAGUGCGGCAGAGGAGACUGGAAUUCCUGGUGUAGCAGUGAAAUGCGUAGAUAUCAGGAGGAACACCGAUGGCGAAGGCAGGUCUCUGGGCUGACACUGACGCUCAUGCACGAAAGCGUGGGGAGCAAACAGG
rnacentral:rRNA from 1 species